rnacentral:tRNA from 1 species
GGGGGGUGGAGGCACAGCAGUAUGCAUAUUUGAAGAAGCACCCCAAAAGGUGCCCCGGCU